AUAAACCUCCCUAGUAAGAGUACAGGAUAUCAACCGCAGUCACUGAGCUCCAGGUUGCUUCGGGGCUUUGAGUCUUAUCAUAUCUUUUUGCAUUGUAUAGUAUCUUAUCAUGAGGCGGGGCCUGUCCCGACCCUUAUAAGAUAACGUUUCUUGUCUAGAGGCUUUGUAGACUACGUAAAGUAUAGUAUGGUCAUGUAUCGUACCGUAGACAUUGUGGCUCCAACGGCCUAGUCAUAUAAUAUCUUUUGGCUUGCUAGUCCUAUUUAUCUUUUGAGGGCAUGUUUAGUAUGAAAGUAACUUAUAAUGUUCAUAGGUAAUGUAUCGCUACAGGUUGGUUCUCCCGAGCCUUACCGGCAACGGGUGCCAGUCCGCCUUAAUAGGAUUUGGGGCGUGACAAUACUGAUCCAACAGAUAACUCAUUUUGCAAAAGAUGAGUGAUCUAUUUUAGUAGAUAAGUGAUAUGUUUUUAUUAUUUCUAAUGGAUUACUUAUUUUCUGCAACAGGUUGGUUAUAGGUUGCAACAGAUAAACUACAUGGUGCAACAGAUGAGUGAUCUAUUUUUAUUAUUUUCAAAGGAUUGCUCAUCUGCUGUAACAGGUAGGUUAUAAGUUGCAACAGAAAACCUACUUGGUACAACCGAUGAGUGAUCUAUUUUUAUUAUUUUCAAAGGAUUGCUCAUCUGCUGUAACAGGUAGGUUAUAAGUUGCAACAGAAAACCUACUUGGUACAACCGAUGAGUGAUCUAUUUUUAUUAUUUUCAAAGGAUUGCUCAUCUGCUGUAACAGGUAGGUUAUAAGUUGCAACAGAAAACCUACUUGGUACAACCGAUGAGUGAUCUAUUUUUAUUAUUUUCAAAGGAUUGCUCAUCUGCUGUAACAGGUAGGUUAUAAGUUGCAACAGAAAACCUACUUGGUACAACCGAUGAGUGAUCUAUUUUUAUUAUUUUCAAAGGAUUGCUCAUCUGCUGUAACAGGUAGGUUAUAAGUUGCAACAGAAAACCUACUUGGUACAACCGAUGAGUGAUCUAUUUUUAUUAUUUUCAAAGGAUUGCUCAUCUGCUGUAACAGGUAGGUUAUAAGUUGCAACAGAAAACCUACUUGGUACAACCGAUGAGUGAUCUAUUUUUAUUAUUUUCAAAGGAUUGCUCAUCUGCUGUAACAGGUAGGUUAUAAGUUGCAACAGAAAACCUACUUGGUACAACCGAUGAGUGAUCUAUUUUUAUUAUUUUCAAAGGAUUGCUCAUCUGCUGUAACAGGUAGGUUAUAAGUUGCAACAGAAAACCUACUUGGUACAACCGAUGAGUGAUCUAUUUUUAUUAUUUUCAAAGGAUUGCUCAUCUGCUGUAACAGGUAGGUUAUAAGUUGCAACAGAAAACCUACUUGGUACAACCGAUGAGUGAUCUAUUUUUAUUAUUUUCAAAGGAUUGCUCAUCUGCUGUAACAGGUAGGUUAUAAGUUGCAACAGAAAACCUACUUGGUACAACCGAUGAGUGAUCUAUUUUUAUUAUUUUCAAAGGAUUGCUCAUCUGCUGUAACAGGUAGGUUAUAAGUUGCAACAGAAAACCUACUUGGUACAACCGAUGAGUGAUCUAUUUUUAUUAUUUUCAAAGGAUUGCUCAUCUGCUGUAACAGGUAGGUUAUAAGUUGCAACAGAAAACCUACUUGGUACAACCGAUGAGUGAUCUAUUUUUAUUAUUUUCAAAGGAUUGCUCAUCUGCUGUAACAGGUAGGUUAUAAGUUGCAACAGAAAACCUACUUGGUACAACCGAUGAGUGAUCUAUUUUUAUUAUUUUCAAAGGAUUGCUCAUCUGCUGUAACAGGUAGGUUAUAAGUUGCAACAGAAAACCUACUUGGUACAACCGAUGAGUGAUCUAUUUUUAUUAUUUUCAAAGGAUUGCUCAUCUGCUGUAACAGGUAGGUUAUAAGUUGCAACAGAAAACCUACUUGGUACAACCGAUGAGUGAUCUAUUUUUAUUAUUUUCAAAGGAUUGCUCAUCUGCUGUAACAGGUAGGUUAUAAGUUGCAACAGAAAACCUACUUGGUACAACCGAUGAGUGAUCUAUUUUUAUUAUUUUCAAAGGAUUGCUCAUCUGCUGUAACAGGUAGGUUAUAAGUUGCAACAGAAAACCUACUUGGUACAACCGAUGAGUGAUCUAUUUUUAUUAUUUUCAAAGGAUUGCUCAUCUGCUGUAACAGGUAGGUUAUAAGUUGCAACAGAAAACCUACUUGGUACAACCGAUGAGUGAUCUAUUUUUAUUAUUUUCAAAGGAUUGCUCAUCUGCUGUAACAGGUAGGUUAUAAGUUGCAACAGAAAACCUACUUGGUACAACCGAUGAGUGAUCUAUUUUUAUUAUUUUCAAAGGAUUGCUCAUCUGCUGUAACAGGUAGGUUAUAAGUUGCAACAGAAAACCUACUUGGUACAACCGAUGAGUGAUCUAUUUUUAUUAUUUUCAAAGGAUUGCUCAUCUGCUGUAACAGGUAGGUUAUAAGUUGCAACAGAAAACCUACUUGGUACAACCGAUGAGUGAUCUAUUUUUAUUAUUUUCAAAGGAUUGCUCAUCUGCUGUAACAGGUAGGUUAUAAGUUGCAACAGAAAACCUACUUGGUACAACCGAUGAGUGAUCUAUUUUUAUUAUUUUCAAAGGAUUGCUCAUCUGCUGUAACAGGUAGGUUAUAAGUUGCAACAGAAAACCUACUUGGUACAACCGAUGAGUGAUCUAUUUUUAUUAUUUUCAAAGGAUUGCUCAUCUGCUGUAACAGGUAGGUUAUAAGUUGCAACAGAAAACCUACUUGGUACAACCGAUGAGUGAUCUAUUUUUAUUAUUUUCAAAGGAUUGCUCAUCUGCUGUAACAGGUAGGUUAUAAGUUGCAACAGAAAACCUACUUGGUACAACCGAUGAGUGAUCUAUUUUUAUUAUUUUCAAAGGAUUGCUCAUCUGCUGUAACAGGUAGGUUAUAAGUUGCAACAGAAAACCUACUUGGUACAACCGAUGAGUGAUCUAUUUUUAUUAUUUUCAAAGGAUUGCUCAUCUGCUGUAACAGGUAGGUUAUAAGUUGCAACAGAAAACCUACUUGGUACAACCGAUGAGUGAUCUAUUUUUAUUAUUUUCAAAGGAUUGCUCAUCUGCUGUAACAGGUAGGUUAUAAGUUGCAACAGAAAACCUACUUGGUACAACCGAUGAGUGAUCUAUUUUUAUUAUUUUCAAAGGAUUGCUCAUCUGCUGUAACAGGUAGGUUAUAAGUUGCAACAGAAAACCUACUUGGUACAACCGAUGAGUGAUCUAUUUUUAUUAUUUUCAAAGGAUUGCUCAUCUGCUGUAACAGGUAGGUUAUAAGUUGCAACAGAAAACCUACUUGGUACAACCGAUGAGUGAUCUAUUUUUAUUAUUUUCAAAGGAUUGCUCAUCUGCUGUAACAGGUAGGUUAUAAGUUGCAACAGAAAACCUACUUGGUACAACCGAUGAGUGAUCUAUUUUUAUUAUUUUCAAAGGAUUGCUCAUCUGCUGUAACAGGUAGGUUAUAAGUUGCAACAGAAAACCUACUUGGUACAACCGAUGAGUGAUCUAUUUUUAUUAUUUUCAAAGGAUUGCUCAUCUGCUGUAACAGGUAGGUUAUAAGUUGCAACAGAAAACCUACUUGGUACAACCGAUGAGUGAUCUAUUUUUAUUAUUUUCAAAGGAUUGCUCAUCUGCUGUAACAGGUAGGUUAUAAGUUGCAACAGAAAACCUACUUGGUACAACCGAUGAGUGAUCUAUUUUUAUUAUUUUCAAAGGAUUGCUCAUCUGCUGUAACAGGUAGGUUAUAAGUUGCAACAGAAAACCUACUUGGUACAACCGAUGAGUGAUCUAUUUUUAUUAUUUUCAAAGGAUUGCUCAUCUGCUGUAACAGGUAGGUUAUAAGUUGCAACAGAAAACCUACUUGGUACAACCGAUGAGUGAUCUAUUUUUAUUAUUUUCAAAGGAUUGCUCAUCUGCUGUAACAGGUAGGUUAUAAGUUGCAACAGAAAACCUACUUGGUACAACCGAUGAGUGAUCUAUUUUUAUUAUUUUCAAAGGAUUGCUCAUCUGCUGUAACAGGUAGGUUAUAAGUUGCAACAGAAAACCUACUUGGUACAACCGAUGAGUGAUCUAUUUUUAUUAUUUUCAAAGGAUUGCUCAUCUGCUGUAACAGGUAGGUUAUAAGUUGCAACAGAAAACCUACUUGGUACAACCGAUGAGUGAUCUAUUUUUAUUAUUUUCAAAGGAUUGCUCAUCUGCUGUAACAGGUAGGUUAUAAGUUGCAACAGAAAACCUACUUGGUACAACCGAUGAGUGAUCUAUUUUUAUUAUUUUCAAAGGAUUGCUCAUCUGCUGUAACAGGUAGGUUAUAAGUUGCAACAGAAAACCUACUUGGUACAACCGAUGAGUGAUCUAUUUUUAUUAUUUUCAAAGGAUUGCUCAUCUGCUGUAACAGGUAGGUUAUAAGUUGCAACAGAAAACCUACUUGGUACAACCGAUGAGUGAUCUAUUUUUAUUAUUUUCAAAGGAUUGCUCAUCUGCUGUAACAGGUAGGUUAUAAGUUGCAACAGAAAACCUACUUGGUACAACCGAUGAGUGAUCUAUUUUUAUUAUUUUCAAAGGAUUGCUCAUCUGCUGUAACAGGUAGGUUAUAAGUUGCAACAGAAAACCUACUUGGUACAACCGAUGAGUGAUCUAUUUUUAUUAUUUUCAAAGGAUUGCUCAUCUGCUGUAACAGGUAGGUUAUAAGUUGCAACAGAAAACCUACUUGGUACAACCGAUGAGUGAUCUAUUUUUAUUAUUUUCAAAGGAUUGCUCAUCUGCUGUAACAGGUAGGUUAUAAGUUGCAACAGAAAACCUACUUGGUACAACCGAUGAGUGAUCUAUUUUUAUUAUUUUCAAAGGAUUGCUCAUCUGCUGUAACAGGUAGGUUAUAAGUUGCAACAGAAAACCUACUUGGUACAACCGAUGAGUGAUCUAUUUUUAUUAUUUUCAAAGGAUUGCUCAUCUGCUGUAACAGGUAGGUUAUAAGUUGCAACAGAAAACCUACUUGGUACAACCGAUGAGUGAUCUAUUUUUAUUAUUUUCAAAGGAUUGCUCAUCUGCUGUAACAGGUAGGUUAUAAGUUGCAACAGAAAACCUACUUGGUACAACCGAUGAGUGAUCUAUUUUUAUUAUUUUCAAAGGAUUGCUCAUCUGCUGUAACAGGUAGGUUAUAAGUUGCAACAGAAAACCUACUUGGUACAACCGAUGAGUGAUCUAUUUUUAUUAUUUUCAAAGGAUUGCUCAUCUGCUGUAACAGGUAGGUUAUAAGUUGCAACAGAAAACCUACUUGGUACAACCGAUGAGUGAUCUAUUUUUAUUAUUUUCAAAGGAUUGCUCAUCUGCUGUAACAGGUAGGUUAUAAGUUGCAACAGAAAACCUACUUGGUACAACCGAUGAGUGAUCUAUUUUUAUUAUUUUCAAAGGAUUGCUCAUCUGCUGUAACAGGUAGGUUAUAAGUUGCAACAGAAAACCUACUUGGUACAACCGAUGAGUGAUCUAUUUUUAUUAUUUUCAAAGGAUUGCUCAUCUGCUGUAACAGGUAGGUUAUAAGUUGCAACAGAAAACCUACUUGGUACAACCGAUGAGUGAUCUAUUUUUAUUAUUUUCAAAGGAUUGCUCAUCUGCUGUAACAGGUAGGUUAUAAGUUGCAACAGAAAACCUACUUGGUACAACCGAUGAGUGAUCUAUUUUUAUUAUUUUCAAAGGAUUGCUCAUCUGCUGUAACAGGUAGGUUAUAAGUUGCAACAGAAAACCUACUUGGUACAACCGAUGAGUGAUCUAUUUUUAUUAUUUUCAAAGGAUUGCUCAUCUGCUGUAACAGGUAGGUUAUAAGUUGCAACAGAAAACCUACUUGGUACAACCGAUGAGUGAUCUAUUUUUAUUAUUUUCAAAGGAUUGCUCAUCUGCUGUAACAGGUAGGUUAUAAGUUGCAACAGAAAACCUACUUGGUACAACCGAUGAGUGAUCUAUUUUUAUUAUUUUCAAAGGAUUGCUCAUCUGCUGUAACAGGUAGGUUAUAAGUUGCAACAGAAAACCUACUUGGUACAACCGAUGAGUGAUCUAUUUUUAUUAUUUUCAAAGGAUUGCUCAUCUGCUGUAACAGGUAGGUUAUAAGUUGCAACAGAAAACCUACUUGGUACAACCGAUGAGUGAUCUAUUUUUAUUAUUUUCAAAGGAUUGCUCAUCUGCUGUAACAGGUAGGUUAUAAGUUGCAACAGAAAACCUACUUGGUACAACCGAUGAGUGAUCUAUUUUUAUUAUUUUCAAAGGAUUGCUCAUCUGCUGUAACAGGUAGGUUAUAAGUUGCAACAGAAAACCUACUUGGUACAACCGAUGAGUGAUCUAUUUUUAUUAUUUUCAAAGGAUUGCUCAUCUGCUGUAACAGGUAGGUUAUAAGUUGCAACAGAAAACCUACUUGGUACAACCGAUGAGUGAUCUAUUUUUAUUAUUUUCAAAGGAUUGCUCAUCUGCUGUAACAGGUAGGUUAUAAGUUGCAACAGAAAACCUACUUGGUACAACCGAUGAGUGAUCUAUUUUUAUUAUUUUCAAAGGAUUGCUCAUCUGCUGUAACAGGUAGGUUAUAAGUUGCAACAGAAAACCUACUUGGUACAACCGAUGAGUGAUCUAUUUUUAUUAUUUUCAAAGGAUUGCUCAUCUGCUGUAACAGGUAGGUUAUAAGUUGCAACAGAAAACCUACUUGGUACAACCGAUGAGUGAUCUAUUUUUAUUAUUUUCAAAGGAUUGCUCAUCUGCUGUAACAGGUAGGUUAUAAGUUGCAACAGAAAACCUACUUGGUACAACCGAUGAGUGAUCUAUUUUUAUUAUUUUCAAAGGAUUGCUCAUCUGCUGUAACAGGUAGGUUAUAAGUUGCAACAGAAAACCUACUUGGUACAACCGAUGAGUGAUCUAUUUUUAUUAUUUUCAAAGGAUUGCUCAUCUGCUGUAACAGGUAGGUUAUAAGUUGCAACAGAAAACCUACUUGGUACAACCGAUGAGUGAUCUAUUUUUAUUAUUUUCAAAGGAUUGCUCAUCUGCUGUAACAGGUAGGUUAUAAGUUGCAACAGAAAACCUACUUGGUACAACCGAUGAGUGAUCUAUUUUUAUUAUUUUCAAAGGAUUGCUCAUCUGCUGUAACAGGUAGGUUAUAAGUUGCAACAGAAAACCUACUUGGUACAACCGAUGAGUGAUCUAUUUUUAUUAUUUUCAAAGGAUUGCUCAUCUGCUGUAACAGGUAGGUUAUAAGUUGCAACAGAAAACCUACUUGGUACAACCGAUGAGUGAUCUAUUUUUAUUAUUUUCAAAGGAUUGCUCAUCUGCUGUAACAGGUAGGUUAUAAGUUGCAACAGAAAACCUACUUGGUACAACCGAUGAGUGAUCUAUUUUUAUUAUUUUCAAAGGAUUGCUCAUCUGCUGUAACAGGUAGGUUAUAAGUUGCAACAGAAAACCUACUUGGUACAACCGAUGAGUGAUCUAUUUUUAUUAUUUUCAAAGGAUUGCUCAUCUGCUGUAACAGGUAGGUUAUAAGUUGCAACAGAAAACCUACUUGGUACAACCGAUGAGUGAUCUAUUUUUAUUAUUUUCAAAGGAUUGCUCAUCUGCUGUAACAGGUAGGUUAUAGUACAUGGUUUCAUUUGAGUUUUUAUCUCAUAUAUUACAUAUUGCCUUACAUAUUCAGUACAUUAUUUCGUACUGACGUCCCUCUUGGGGGACCUGCAUUCCAUGCUGCAGGUACAGAAGCUAAUACACCUCCCUAGUAAGAGUACAGGAUAAUCAACCGCAGUCACUGAGCUCCAGGUUGCUUCGGGGCUUUGAGUCCUAUCAUAUCUUUUUGCAUUGUAUAGUAUCUUAUCAUGAGGCGGGGCCUGUCCCGACCCUUAUAAGAUAACGUUUCUUGUCUAGAGGCUUUGUAGACUACGUAAAGUAUAGUAUGGUCAUGUAUCGUACCGUAG
rnacentral:lncRNA from 1 species